CACGCUUGAAAACCUGUGUUCUUAAAGAUAUCAACAACCGAAUCCAUCCCUUCCACUUCCAAUCAUCCUCGGGUCCUCCAUAAAUCAAUGCUUUCUCUUUUCCAAUUCUUGAUUCUUCAAAUUUUUUAUGUUUUCAAAUGCAUCGGUAAAUUGACUCACUACAUCUGACAUCAAUUGGGAAGCUUUCCAGUGUACUUUUAUAGUCUAUAAAUAUUGGGAGCAUCACAAUUCAUUCUCCAACAAAAACCCUAACCAUAGAAACUGCGACGGCGCUAUAAAAACCGUCGUUUUCUCCGAUCAAAUCACAACGACUCAUCCUUUCCGUUCUCCUUCUCUCAAGCUCAAGAGCGGCGGCGACUCUCUUCAUCUUCUCUGGCGAUCUCAACCUCUUCUUCAUCUUCUCUCCUUCCGAUUCGCUAACGGUGGCGGCAGUGAUGAUUCACGAUUUGGGAACUGAUGAUGACGUUGCUUGCAUUUUUGAGGACUGAUUAUGAUGUUGCUUGCGUUUUUUAGAACUGAUGAUUCACAUUGUUGAUGUUGAACGGUCCGGUCGUUCGUUGAGAUAUGUAGAAAUGGUGGAGCUGGUUUACAUGUUGGACAUCCGCUUGGAUACACUGCCACUGAUAUUUUAGCUAGGUUUAAACGAAUGCAAGGAUAUACUGUCUUGCAUUUAAUGGGGUGGGAUGCUUUUGGAUUACCUGCAGAUAUGCAAUUGAGAGAGGAACUCACCCGAAGCUCACCAUAGUGACGAAUUUUAAUCAUUUAACUCUCAGGUUAACUGAUGACAAGUUAGUUUUACUCUAAGGAAGAUCUUUUAUUUAGUUAUUGAUUUAAAUGAUUAGAAGUAUCCUAGAAUUAUUAAAAUUUGCUGCUGCUGUUGUGCCAGGAAUGAACUUAUGUGGCAAAUUUUGGUCCAUAUAAAGAUCACUAUUCUUUAGAAAAUUUUGUGAAGUUGUAGUCGUGAAUAUUUAAGUAGUUUGUUAAGUCUCACUGUCCCUCUAUCAACUAGAACCUAUUCAGAAAGAAAACUUUUUUUGUUAUAAAAUAGGUUCUAAUUUGAUGCUGGGAUUGAGAACUUUUACCUCUAAACAUGAAUUUUAACAUCUAUUUUACCGUUGAUGAUGGUGGUUUCUCAACUUUCUACUGAUGUUCAAGAUAUGUCUCAGACUCAACAGGUGAAAAGGAAGAAAUUUUUUGUUAAAAGAUGGAGAGAGGAAUGGAAAUACACUUACAAAUUGGCCUAUGUUGAUGUGAAGGACGGGACACUGAGGAUUUACAUAUCUAUCUGCAAGUAAAUUGGCAAGAAGCAUCGAAGUAGUCCUUACUAGAAUUAAGGAAGUCGUAAUAUGCAUAUGAGUGUGCUUCAGGAACCAUUUGUGCUUCAGGAACCAAAUAAUGGUUUGCUUCAUAAAGAGACUAUUCAUCUUCAUUCAUCCUCCAAAGAUAAAAUUAUGGAGGACAAACCUAUUUAUGUAAAAGCGGGAUCAAUUCUUCAAGCUACACUAAAAAGGAUCCUCAUGAGAUCGAGUUCAUUCAUGCUUUGGUGGUUCAAGUCGCAUUGGUUUUUCAUAUGUUAGUUUUUGUGUUGUCUGCUGCUGUAGAAUUUUUGUGCAUACGCGGUUUCAGAGCGCCUGAAGCAGUCAUCUUUCAUUCGUCUCAUCCAGCCGUGGAGUUCAAAAUUUCAUCUGUCAUGUAAGCUUGUGCUUCCUACAACAUUCAGCUAUGGUAGUUUUAAGGAGCUGCGAGGUCUGACUAUUGUCAACAUUAUCAAUCAGUUUCGACUGUUGGUUAGGGGUUUGGGGGAGUUUUCAAUUGGCAUUUUAAUGUAUUCAUGCUUUUGUUAUCUUAAAUUUGCUUGUGGUUGGAUCUGGUUCUGGGGUCUAUUGGUUCAUUGCUUGAGGCGUUUCCUAUCAAUUGCUUAGGCGAAGGGGCUCUGUCUAAAGUUACCGGUGUGUUUAGGGAAUUGGUGGAUGUUUGUGGCAAUUUAUUUCAUGGUUAUAGCUAGA